UACGGAGGAUGCGAGCGUUAUCCGGAUUUAUUGGGUUUAAAGGGUGCGUAGGCGGCCUUUUAAGUCAGCUGUGAAAGUCCGCGGCUCAACCGUGGAAUUGCAGUUGAAACUGGAGGCCUUGAGUGCACACAGGGAUGCCGGAAUUCAUGGUGUAGCGGUGAAAUGCUUAGAUAUCAUGAAGAACUCCGAUUGCGAAGGCAGCAUACCGGCGCCCAACUGACGCUGAGGCUCGAAAGCGUGGGGAGCAAACAGG
rnacentral:rRNA from 1 species